rnacentral:rRNA from 1 species
GAUGAACGCUAGCUACAGGCUUAACACAUGCAAGUCGAGGGGAAACGAUAGAGAAAGCUUGCUUUUUCUAGGCGUCGACCGGCGCACGGGUGAGUAACGCGUAUCCAACCUGCCCAUCACUUGGGGAUAACCUUGCGAAAGUAAGACUAAUACCCAAUGACGUCUCUAGAAGACAUCUGAAAGAGAUUAAAGAUUUAUCGGUGAUGGAUGGGGAUGCGUCUGAUUAGCUUGUUGGCGGGGUAACGGCCCACCAAGGCGACGAUCAGUAGGGGUUCUGAGAGGAAGGUCCCCCACAUUGGAACUGAGACACGGUCCAAACUCCUACGGGAGGCAGCAGUGAGGAAUAUUGGUCAAUGGACGAGAGUCUGAACCAGCCAAGUAGCGUGAAGGAUGACUGCCCUAUGGGUUGUAAACUUCUUUUAUACGGGAAUAAAGUGAGGCACGUGUGCCUUUUUGUAUGUACCAUAUGAAUAAGGAUCGGCUAACUCCGUGCCAGCAGCCG